rnacentral:rRNA from 1 species
UACGUAGGGGGCGAGCGUUGUCCGGAUUUAUUGGGCGUAAAGAGCUCGUAGGCGGCUGUUCGAGUCGGGUGUGAAACCCCAGGGCUUAACUCUGGGCCUGCAUUCGAUACUGGGCGGCUUGAGUCUGGUAGGGGGAUCUGGAAUUCCUGGUGUAGCGGUGGAAUGCGCAGAUAUCAGGAGGAACACCGGUGGCGAAGGCGGGAUCCUGGGCCAGUACUGACGCUGAGGAGCGAAAGCGUGGGGAGCAAACAGGAUUAGAUACCCUGGUAGUCCACGCUGUAAACGAUGGGUGCUAGGUGUGGGGGGUUAUCGACUCCCUCCGUGCCGCAGCUAACGCAUUAAGCACCCCGCCUGGGGAGUACGGCCGCAAGGCUAAA